rnacentral:misc_RNA from 1 species
UCCGGUUUGUCACCGGCAGUCCCAUUAGAGUGCCCAACUGAAUGUAGCAACUAAUGGCAAGGGUUGCGCUCGUUGCGGGACUUAACCCAACAUCUCACGACACGAGCUGACGACAGCCAUGCAGCACCUGUGUCCAGGUUCCCUUUCGGUUUCUUACCACCGACAUGUCAAACCCAGGUAAGGUUUUUCGCGUUGCGUCGAAUUGAACCACAUGCUCCACCGCUUGUGCGGGUCCCCGUCAAUUCCUUUGAGUUUUAACCUUGCGGCCGUACUCCCCAGGCGGGAUGCUUAAUGCGUUAGCUGCGCCACCGACAAGCAAGCUUGCCGACGGCUAGCAUCCAUCGUUUACGGCGUGGACUAC